AAAUGAACUCCCUCCAGCUUAGCUUUCACCCGGUGGUGUUCCCGGGAGGAGAGGGCGGAGGGCGGAGGGAACUUGCACCGAAGCAUCACUCGAGACCCCAAACCUCCAGGCCUGAGGCCCAGCCAGCGCCCAAUGGAUGACAAAAAGAAGAAACGGAGUCCCAAGCCCUGCCUGGCCCAGCCAGCCCAGGCCCCAGGCACACUACGGAGGGUCCCUGUGCCUACCAGCCACAGCGGCUCCUUGGCCCUAGGACUUCCUCAUCUGCCAUCCCCCAAGCAGCGGGCCAAGUUCAAGAGACCCCUGAGAACUCAGAGCUCACUCAGACCCAGUCCCUACCCUCAACUGUGUGGCAAAAAGGCCAGGUGGGUCACUGGGAUCACAUAGCGUGAGGAUUCGCCUCAGAGGAGGGAGUGAGCAACUCUGCAAGAAAGUGAAUGUUCCACGCUGAGAGGCUUACCUGGUAUAAAUAUGGAAGAAAGCUAUUACCUGAAAGGUUUCAGGAACCACAGGUGGUUUGGGGGCCCUGGAGUAUCAGGGAACAGGAAAUGGUGAGGAAAUACCUGGGGGCACAAUUUGAAUUCUCUGUUGAAUUUUUUUUAUGAUUGGGAGUUUGCAUGCUGCCUUAUAAUGUGUCCAUGUUUGUUCCCCACUAAAUACAAUGUAUUCUUUCUCCAGUUGCUCCAGAUAAGACCACUGUGUUUCCCCCUGGUUUUGCACACCACUUGCCUAAGGGGCAUGAAGCUCAAGGCUGUGGGGAGAGUAGCAGGAAAGGCAACUGGGAAGGCAGGAGGGCCAGGCUGGCAGGGGCAUUCAAUUUUAUCCUGAGAGCAGUGGAAAUUUUAAGACAGUUUUUUUGGUUUAUUGGUUUGGCUUUGUUUUCUAUGUAUUUUUGUUUUUGUUUAAAAGAGUUUUUAAAUAGAAGAGGGUUGGCUGGGCAUGGUGGCUCAGCCUAUAAUCCCAGCACUUGGGGACGCUGAGGCAGGCAGAUCACCUGAGGUCAGAAGUUUGAGACCAGCUUGGUCAACAUGGUGAAACCUCAUCUCUGUUAAAAAUACAAAAGUUAGCCAGGCGUGAUGGUGGGUGCCUAUAAUCCCAGCAACUUGGGAGGCUGAGGCACAAGAAUCACUUGAACCUGGAAGGCAGAGGUUGCAGUGAACCGAGAUUGUGCCACUGCACUCCAGCCUGUGUGACAGUGAGACUCUGUCUCAAACAAAAAAAAAAUUUUUUUUUUAAUU
rnacentral:lncRNA from 1 species